UCUUGCUCCUCGCCUGGUCUCUCUCUUCUUUGCUGCGUGGGGUGGGAUGGAAAAGAGUAAUAAUAGCCGUCCAGCUGUUGCAUUUGGGAACGCGGCAUGGCAUGAUCUCCUUUGUCUCCUGCCAAUAUCAUAGAUAUUUCUGUCCCAGUGAGAUGCCGCGGGGUGCAAAGGGGGAGCGGGGCAAACGGCCUCCCCAGCCCUCGCUCUGGUCCGGGAAGCUCUCACCUAAGACCGAGAGAUCCCAAGGGAGAAGACUAUGUUUGUUUCAUCGGACGGGGGACCCCUUGAGUGAACUCCUCUGCAGGCCAGGAACUCCCCAGAGCUCCUGACAGGGCUGCAGGCUACGAGCAGAGGAGUAGAUGGAGGCGGUGGUGAUGUCAACCCUGGAGUUAAGUAAGCCCAGGAACUGAUAACAUCAACAAGCACUGAGGUUGCUUUGGGUGAGGUGACUCAUCCAGGAUGGGCCACACAAUCGUGGAGCAAUUACUGCGUUGCCCAUUCUGCCCAGUGUGUGGGAUUGGGGAAGAAGAGGAGGGGCCCCCGGGGCCCAGAGUCUCCACUCUCCUGGAGCCUGCCUAGCACUUUGCUCUAGCAGGGCCCCAGGAAAGUAACAGUACAUGGUGUCCCCGGGGCCUCCAGAGAUCGGCACUCAUGCAGGAAAUGCCCCUCCUGGUUUCGAACUCAUAUCUCUGUACACAAUGUUUUGCUCUGUGUGUGUAUGUGGUUUUUUUUUUAAUUUGGGGAAGGCUGGGGGGAGGUGGUUUCUCCCCAGAUGCAACAGGUAUGGGUGAUUUCUAGAAGCUGAUAUGCUUGUUCCAUUAACCACCCAGCUGACAGUAGAUGCUGGGGCUGCUAACCAAGGCCAAAGGACCCUUUUUUAAAAUUAAAGAUACACUCUGUUCCUCUGUUCCUUCUCAGGUGAGGUAAGGAGGAAGAGGGGAGCUCCCUUAGCCCUUUUCACCCCUAGGUAUGAACCUCCUCCUCGCCCUUUAACCUGAACGAUGCCCCUCUCCUUCCUCCCGUCUCAUCUCCCUAUUCUCCAGCUCCUAUAGGUACAUGCCUCCUCCAAACCCAUAGUGCUCCUACUGUUCAAGGAAAGAUGUGCUAAGUAACGCUUUAGACUUGUAGGGUUAAGCACCUAGGGAGCUGAGGAGUCAGAAGACCUGGGAUGGUCCCAACCUAACCAUUUACUAGCUAUGUCACCU
rnacentral:lncRNA from 1 species